ensembl:miRNA xtr-mir-150 xtr-mir-150
CUCUCUCCCAACCCUUGUACCAGAGUGAUAAUGGGAACUCUGGUACAGAGGAUGGCUGAAAGGA